AGUGCCCAUUACAGUAUGAUACAGGUAAAGGAAUUACCACCCACUAUGGCCUGCACAAGCACUCUACAAACAUGGCAUCGGCCACAGACACAGGGGAUCUGUGCAGAGCCUAUUCAGGACUUGGUGGUGAAGAAACCAAAAUUAUCUGCCAGGAGCAUAUGCAAAUCAAUACUCGAUCAAGCAUACACAGGAUCCCUCCUUGACUCAUCAAUGUUGUCCCUUGCGGUGUCAUGGUUUGGGGUUUUUGUCCUGUUAUUUCCUGUUUUAUUUUGAAGUGUUCUCCUCUCCUCAUGUCUUGUUGUUUUACUUCUUGUCUUUGUUUGCUUUUCCCUCCAGUUUUGAU